rnacentral:misc_RNA from 2 species
AAUUCUCAACUACAUCUCUUUUUGAUGUGGCUUGGACAGUGGGGGUUAUAUUUGCAGGCUUUUGAAAAGAAGUUUGCUCCCCUGAAAUGAAUUAGUGGUAUCUAAGCAGAGACUACUACAGGUGUGAUAAUUAUUUUAUGCCUUGGUAUACUGCAUGCACUGCUUCUAAUGACUUUUGUUAUUGACCA